AGUGAACGCUGGCGGCAGGCCUAACACAUGCAAGUCGAACGGCAGCACAGCAGUAGCAAUACUGUGGGUGGCGAGUGGCGGACGGGUGAGGAAUACAUCGGAAUCUGCCUUAUCGUGGGGGAUAACGUAGGGAAACUUACGCUAAUACCGCAUACGACCUACGGGUGAAGGCGGGGGAUCGCAAGACCUCGCGCGAUAAGAUGAGCCGAUGUCGGAUUAGCUGGUUGGCGGGGUAAAGGCCCACCAAGGCGACGAUCCGUAGCUGGUCUGAGAGGAUGAUCAGCCACACUGGAACUGAGACACGGUCCAGACUCCUACGGGAGGCAGCAGUGGGGAAUAUUGGACAAUGGGCGCAAGCCUGAUCCAGCCAUGCCGCGUGGGUGAAGAAGGCCUUCGGGUUGUAAAGCCCUUUUGUCUGGAAAGAAAAGCACUGGAUUAAUACUUCGGUGUUCUGACGGUACCGGAAGAAUAAGCACCGGCUAACUUCGUGCCAGCCGCCGCCGUAACAC
rnacentral:rRNA from 1 species